CCUACGGGGUGCAGCAGUGGGGAAUAUUGGGCAAUGGACGCAAGUCUGACCCAGCAACGCCGCGUGAAGGAAGAAGGCUUUCGGGUUGUAAACUUCUUUUAAGGGGGAAGAGCAGAAGACGGUACCCCUUGAAUAAGCCACGGCUAACUACGUGCCAGCAGCCGCGGUAAUACGUAGGUGGCAAGCGUUGUCCGGAUUUACUGGGUGUAAAGGGCGUGCAGCCGGAGAGACAAGUCAGGAGUGAAAUGCCGCAGCUUAACUGCGGAACUGCUUUGGAAACUGGCGAACUAGAGUGCGGGAGGGGUAAGCGGAAUUCCUAGUGUAGCGGUGAAAUGCGUAGAUAUUAGGAGGAACACCGGUGGCGAAGGCGGCUUACUGGACCGUAACUGACGUUGAGGCUCGAAAGCGUGGGGAGCAAACAGGAUUAGAUACCCUUGUAGUC
rnacentral:rRNA from 1 species